AGGAGCCAUGAUGUCAUUAAUUUGGUGUCGUGGGGAAUCAGGACUGUUACUUUGAAAAAAUUAGAGUGUUUAAAGCAGGCACGCGCUUGAAUACAUUAGCAUGGAAUAAUGAAAUAGGACGUUCGAUUCUAUUUUGUUGGUUUCUAGGAUCAACGUAAUGAUUAAUAGGGAUAGUUGGGGGCAUUAGUAUUCAAUUGUCAGAGGUGAAAUUCUUGGAUUUAUUGAAGACUAACUACUGCGAAAGCAUUUGCCAAGGAUGUUUUCAUUAAUCAAGAACGAAAGUUAGGGGAUCGAAGACGAUCAGAUACCGUCGUAGUCUUAACCAUAAACUAUGCCGACUAGGGAUCGGAUGAUGUUAAUUUUUUAAAGACUCAUUCGGCGCCUUACG
rnacentral:rRNA from 1 species